AUACGUAGGGGGCGAGCGUUGUCCGGAAUGAUUGGGCGUAAAGGGCGCGUAGGCGGCCUGUUAAGUCUGGAGUGAAAGUCCUGUUUUCAAGAUGGGAAUUGCUUUGGAUACUGAUGGGCUUGAGUGCAGGAGAGGUUAUCGGAAUUCCCGGUGUAGCGGUGAAAUGCGUAGAGAUCGGGAGGAACACCAGUGGCGAAGGCGGGUAACUGGACUGCAACUGACGCUGAGGCGCGAAAGUGUGGGGAGCAAACAGGAUUAGAUACCCUGGUAGUCCACACUGUAAACGAUGAAUGCUAGGUGUAAGAGGUAUCGACCCCUUUUGUGCCGGAAUCAACACAAUAAGCAUUCCGCCUGGGGAGUACGGCCGCAAGGUUGAAACUCAAAGGAAUUGACGGGG
rnacentral:rRNA from 1 species